UUCGUAGGUGACCUGCGGAAGGACAUUAUUGAAUACGAUUGGUACUGAUGCUGGCCCUUCACUGGGCAUGUGCUCGUCCAUCUAUUUAUCUUCUCUUGUGCACAUCUUGUAGUCUUGGAUGAACCCUUGCGCAUUCGUGCGGUCUGGGAGUUGCGAAUUAAAACCUUGCUCCUCCUGCUUGUCCAAGGCUAUGUUUUCAUAUACACUAUAAAGUUACAGAAUGUCAAUUAACGACUUGUGCUUGUCACGGUCAUUAAACCUAUACAACUUUCAGCAACGGAUCUCUUGGCUCUCCUAUCGAUGAAGAACGCAGCGAAAUGCGAUAAGUAAUGUGAAUUGCAGAAUUCAGUGAAUCAUCGAAUCUUUGAACGCACCUUGCGCCCUUUGGUAUUCCGAAGGGCAUGCCUGUUUGAGUGUCAUUAAAUUAUCAACCUUGCUCGCUUUUACCGGCUUGAGUUAGGCUUGGAUGUGAGGGUCUUUGCUGGCUUCCUUUAGUGGAUGGUCUGCUCCCUUUAAAUGCAUUAGUGGGAUCUCUUGUGGACCGUCACUUGGUGUGAUAAUUAUCUAUGCCAUCUUGACUUUGAAGCAAACUAAUGGGAACCUGCUCAUAACCGUCCUUUCAAGGACAACUCUUGACAUUUUGACCUCAAAUCAGGUAGGACUACCCGCUGAACUUAAGCAUAUCAAUAAGCGGAGGAAAAGAAACUAACAAGGAUUCCCCUAGUAACUGCGAGUGAAGCGGGAAAAGCUCAAAUUUAAAAUCUGGCGGUCCCUGUGGCCGUCCGAGUUGUAAUUUAGAGAAGUGUUAUCCGCGCUGGACCGUGUACAAGUCUCCUGGAAUGGAGCGUCAUAGAGGGUGAGAAUCCCGUCUUUGACACGGACUGCCAGGGCAUUGUGAUGCGCUCUCAAAGAGUCGAGUUGUUUGGGAAUGCAGCUCAAAAUGGGUGGUAAAUUCCAUCUAAAGCUAAAUAUUGAGGAGAGACCGAUAGCGAACAAGUACCGUGAGGGAAAGAUGAAAAGAACUUUGGAAAGAGAGUUAAACAGUACGUGAAAUUGCUGAAAGGGAAACGCUUGAAGUCAGUCGCGCCGUUCAGGACUCAGCCUUGCUUUGCUUGGUGUACUUCCUGUUUGGUGGGUCAGCAUCAAUUUUGGUCGGUGGAUAAAGGCUUAGAGAAUGUGGCAUCUUCGGGUGUGUUAUAGCUCUGGGUCGCAUACAUCGGCUGGGAUUGAGGAACUCAGCACGCCGCAAGGCCGGGGACUUGUCCCACGUACGUGCUUAGGA
rnacentral:rRNA from 1 species